AGUGAACGCUGGCGGCAGGCCUAACACAUGCAAGUCGAACGGCAGCACACUAAGUGCUUGCUCUUACGGGUUGCGAGUGGCGGACGUGUGAGGAAUACAUCCUAAUCUACUUUUUCGUGGGGGAUAACGUAGGUAAACUUACUCUAAUACCGCAUACGCCCUACGGUUGAAAGCAUUGGAUCUUCUCACCUUGCGCGAUUGAAUGAGCCGCUGUGGGAUUUGAUAGUUGGCGGGUUAAUGGCCCACCAAUUCGACGAUCCGUAGCUGGUCUGAGAGGAUGGUCAGCCGCACGGGAGCGGGGACACGGUCCAGGGGCCUAAGGGAGGGAGCAGUGGGGAAUAUUAGGCAAUGGGGGGAAGCAUGGUCCAGUCAGAGCGCGUGGGUUGAGAAGGCGUUCGGGUUGUAAAGACGGUUUGUUGGGAAAGAAAAGCAGCAGGUUGAGACGCAGCUGGUCUGACGGUAACGAAAGAAUAAGCACCGGCUAACUUCGUG
rnacentral:rRNA from 1 species